ensembl:lncRNA
ACUGAACCUACAUCCAAGUUGGGUUUGUUUCCGCGGUACCACAAUGGUAACUCCAAUGUUCCUCUUCUUAAAUGGAGAUAGUGUUCUCUGCUUUAGCUAUCUCUGAAAGUAAAAUAUUGGUCUGAAAGUAAAAAGCAUUGGUCUGAAAGUAAAAUAAGGUAAAACAGGACAAAAAUAAGGCUGUGCUUAGAAAAAAAUGAGUCGAGACAUUUAAAAAUAUUACUAACUAAUUUGUAAUUUUUAAAUCAGUGUUAAUCUGCAUUCCUGUGAGAGAUAGGAUAAUCUAGUGGUUUAAGCCAUCAGUUCUUUGAUUUGGCUUUUGCUGGUAGGAUCUUGGGCAAGUUAAUCUCCUUGAGCUGCAAUUCUUUUACUGUGAAUAGAUAACUAUCUGCUUCAUCUAUUGCUGUGAGGCUUAAAUAGCUUAUUAUAGGUUAAGUGCUUACCCUAGCAUCUGACGAAUGAAAAGUGUUUACUUGACCAAGUAUUUACUUUUCUUAUUCCUGAAAUGCCCAAGACGACCUUGCAUCUCUUUUCAAAUGUAUUUGUACAGGAAUGGCCACCUACAUCUGUCUAGGACCCACUGAAAACCAAAAACAGUUGUGAAAUGGAGAGACCUUAUGUGCCCAAGUCAACAAGCUAUUGAAGGAGCUGGAUUUUAAUCCCGAUGCUUUGGCUAAUUGGAUGACCUUGGACAGACACUUUGUUUGCAGUGGUAUUAGCAUUUCUGCAAUAUGCAGAUGAAGAAGCUGAGGACCUGACUCAUUCCCCCAAGGUGUGGCAAUUUUAUUUUCCAGAAUAAAGCCAUCUCAUGUAAAUAUCCCAUCAAUAGCAGCAGAUGGUAAAAGGCAAUUUGAAUGAUGCUUUCAAAAUUCGGAGGCAACUGCAAUUAUCAAUGUCUUCUAUAUCCUGCCAGUAGUAGUCCAUGCAUAAGAAAAAAAAAAGGUAAAUGUUUCCUAUUCUUUAAAAGAACAAAUGUUGGCAUUCUAAAUUGACUCUUUUUUUAUUUAACAAUAGAUAACAUCUCAGAGAUUAGUCCAAGUCAAUUUAUAUUGAACACUCUCAUCUUUUUUUAAAUAACUGUAUUAUAUUGAAUUUUGUGUGCUUUACUGUACAACAGAAAUUGGCACAACAUUGUAAAUCAACUAUACUUUAAUAAAAUAAAUAAACAACAAAAAAGAAUGAAUCA